rnacentral:rRNA from 1 species
CAGCAGCCACGGUAAUACGUAGGUGGCAAGCGUUGUCCGGAAUUAUUGGGCGUAAAGCGCGCGCAGGUGGUUUAAUAAGUCUGAUGUGAAAGCCCACGGCUCAACCGUGGAGGGUCAUUGGAAACUGUUAAACUUGAGUGCAGGAGAGAAAAGUGGAAUUCCUAGUGUAGCGGUGAAAUGCGUAGAGAUUAGGAGGAACACCAGUGGCGAAGGCGGCUUUUUGGCCUGUAACUGACACUGAGGCGCGAAAGCGUGGGGAGCAAGCAGGAUUAGAUACCCCUGUAGUCCCUGUCUCUUAUAA